CCAAUUUUAGAAUAAGGCUGUAACGUAACAAAAUGUGGAAAAAGUCAAGGGGUCUGAAUACUUUCUGAAUGCUCUGUAUAUGCUAUUGGUUUACUGUUAGAAUUGUUUGUAGGACUACAACAAUACUGUUAAAGCAACAAUGCAUAGACCUAGAACAUGCAUGGC